GGUCGGUUUACGCGAUUUUUGACCUUUCCGGCAUAUUUUCGUCCCGCGAUCAAUCCAGAAUAUUUUUCUUCUCCCGUUCAGAUGAGUUUAAUAUUUUUAAUAAACUCCAAUCUGAAGUCUGACUUUGGCGGUAAAUAUUUCCCGAUCCUUCGGCUUCAUCGAAGACUUGCAUAAUACCGAAAUUAGGGUUUUAGUCUAAUUUCGGGUUUUCCCGUCGUGCUUCGAUCCCGUCGUGCUUGCUUCCCGUCGUGCUUAAGUCCCAUCAUGAUUCCAAUGUCUUCAAAAUAAUAUUCCGCUGAUACGAAGUUUUGCGGAAAACUUCGUGCUGAAGAAACGUCAUUCUUCCAAAACGUCGAGCUUCUAAACCGUCGUGGUUCCAAAAAUGUUAUGCUUCUACAUGCCUAGCAUGGUGGGUUACACACAAGCUAUAUGGCAUCACAGUCUAACUCUAGAAAACUAACAACAAUAUCAUUACUAAACAAAUCAACCAGUUAGUCACUCCCUUACCAAGAGCUGACUAACCUCAAACAACAAGCAAGCAUUCAGCAUUCGCUAACUAACCAAUCAACCUAACCAUUAGCAUGCUACUAUGAUUCCCAAGCAAUAACUAAGCAUGCUAUCAACUUAAUCAACUAAUACUCAACUAUUAACUAAUCAAACCGUUACUCAGUUAGCCCUGGCCUCCUGCCAUGAUCCAACUUCCAAGUAACGGGAACCUGCAUGAAAACAAGUCAGCAAUCAAUUGAUCACAACUCACAGUGUUCUUUGCCGAUAAGCAGCUGGUUAAUCGGAGAGGACUUGGCCAAAACCCAAUUGACGACAUGACUGGAGUGGACUGGACUCGACUUGGACAGAACCUCGGCUUCACCAUGAAGAAACUGACACGCCUCGACAGACUGAUCUGGACAGAAUCCUCCUCUAGCUUCUGGACAGUUCUUCGGACUUCCCGGCGGAGUAUCGAGCAGAACUUCGACUGAUCUGAACCCGUGGUUCUGAACUAACUCUGGGCAGCACCUCCACUAGACCAUCAUAGAAUAUGACUGGCUCAUGACUGGAACUCAUGCAAGACGCCACCCAAGCACACACAUGUCGAUCAGCAUGCUUCGGUUGCAUGCGCGGAGACACCUCGUGCUUGGCCGUUCCACCUCGUGCUUCUAUGUGUCAAGCUGCAUGUUCAGCUUUCAUGCACGUCGACACCUCCUCCUUGUGUUGACACUCAGCUGCUGAUGUUAUAGACAGAACGUCCUGGCCAUAUGCAUAGGGACACCUCGAGUUUUUUGGUCGGUUUACGCGAUUUUUGACCUUUCCGGCAUAUUUUCGUCCCGCGAUCAAUCCAGAAUAUUUUUCUUCUCCCGUUCAGAUGAGUUUAAUAUUUUUAAUAAACUCCAAUCUGAAGUCUGACUUUGGCGGUAAAUAUUUCCCGAUCCUUCGGCUUCAUCGAAGACUUGCAUAAUACCGAAAUUAGGGUUUUAGUCUAAUUUCGGGUUUUCCCGUCGUGCUUCGAUCCCGUCGUGCUUGCUUCCCGUCGUGCUUAAGUCCCAUCAUGAUUCCAAUGUCUUCAAAAUAAUAUUCCGCUGAUACGAAGUUUUGCGGAAAACUUCGUGCUGAAGAAACGUCAUUCUUCCAAAACGUCGAGCUUCUAAACCGUCGUGGUUCCAAAAAUGUUAUGCUUCUAAAACGUCCGUCUCAUCAAUCUAAGACAUCUUCUAACUAUGGUCGAGCAACUUAUUCGACUCAUAGUUCACUCAGGAUCACUUCUUCGCCCACUUCGUACUUUAAAACUUCUCGAUCGAUCCUUAUCGCCCGCGACUCGACCACCAC
rnacentral:lncRNA from 1 species